UACUCGUGGCCUUGUCUGAGUAUAAUAGUAAGUUGAUACCUUGAUGGGGCCAACUGAAUUUAGAUUAAGCUAGUUGACAUUUCAGCAAAAUUGUGAAUGCAAGUGUUGUGUGAAUAGCAUUAUUUCUUGAAAGAAUAACUACUGACAAAUGGAAAACUUCUUAGAAAAAGGAUCAUGUAUAAAAUAGUUUCUGCAUUUGGCCAAUUCAAAGUGAUUUUUUGACUGACAUUUUUAAAGCUAGACUCCACCAAGUAGAUUUUUGUCAAACCAACUAAAUCCACGGAUCCAAUGCAAAAACUGAUUAAGCAUCAUAUUUACCAAGACCUGGCUCCAUGCAACUAAUUUAAUAUUUAUAACAAUGAUGUCCAGAGAAGUAAAAUGAAGGGGUAAAAACCAAACCUAUUAGAUAAACAUCUAGAGUUUGAGAAGCAGUGCAGUAAAUUUC
rnacentral:lncRNA from 1 species